CGCUGGGAGCUGCUGGGAGCUGGCCUCUGUUGAGCUUAAUAGUUACUUUUGAGUUUGAGAAUGACAAUGGAGCUCGGACUCCGGGUCGUCUCGAGGACUAAGUUGGAGGUACACCCAUCCUAGAAAGUCAACGAACGAACAAGAUGCGCGAUGCAUCCUCUGUGUCAAAAAGGGAAGAGAAGCAGAGCCAGUUGGGGAUCCUUUUGGUCUCGGAUAGACCUUAGAUCGGCUUUGCAAACCUGUGUCAGUGCCAAAGACUUAAGCUGUUCAAGACUGAUCUAACACCCGAGGUAGCAGUAAAUAAGAUUUAGGAAAAUUCUUUAGGACGGAAGUGACUCAAAACCAAAAUGGAGUUAGCCAGGUCUGUUCCUAAGCCCUCCAAGUCUAUACCCACAAACCAUUAUUUCAUUGCAUUACUUAUGGACACGGAACUAAGGUUGAGCUAAGUUAUAUUAAUACUAACGAGAACAUCGAAAAGUUUAGCUUUCCUUUAUGUUCUCAUUCAAGUCAAUAAAUGUAAUAAAAACUAUAGAAAACUGU